CAAAUGAGCGUUCUCUUGGUGGAGACCGAAGAGAAUAUGGCUUUGCGAAACUGCGACAUGGCAUGGCCAUCGGACUGAAGUCUCAUCCUACAUAUGGUGUUAGAGGUGCUAUAGCACACUAUGAUCUGGUCCAAGCAUCUGGUUUGGUCCCUAACCGAAGUAGCCUUGAUGAUGUUGAAGUUGAUUUGAAUAAAGACAAGAUAAUGAUGGCUGAUUGUUCUCUUAGAGCCGAAGAUAUUGUAGGAAGAAUUGUCACUGCAGCUCACUCUGG
rnacentral:misc_RNA from 1 species